GAGUUUGAUCCUGGCUCAGGAUGAACGCUGGCGGCGUGCUUAACACAUGCAAGCCGAACGGGGAUGCAUUAAGAAGGAGUGCUUGCAUUCCGGAAGGAUGUAUCUUAGUGGCGGACGGGUGAGUAACGCGUGGGUAACCUGCCCCAUACCGGGGGAUACCACCUGGAAACAGGUGCUAAUACCGCAUAAGCGCACGGGAGCGCAUGCUCCUGUGUGAAAAACUCCGGUGGUAUGGGAUGGACCCGCGUCUGAUUAGCCAGUUGGCAGGGUAACGGCCUACCAAAGCGACGAUCAGUAGCCGGCCUGAGAGGGUGGACGGCCACAUUGGGACUGAGACACGGCCCAAACUCCUACGGGAGGCAGCAGUGGGGAAUAUUGCACAAUGGGGGAAACCCUGAUGCAGCGACGCCGCGUGAAAGAGGAAGUAUUUCGGUAUGAAAGCU
rnacentral:rRNA from 1 species